rnacentral:rRNA from 1 species
GAUGAACGCUGGCGGCGUGCCUAAUUCAUGCAAGUCGAGCGAACGGACGAGAAGCUUGCUUCUCUGAUGUUAGCGGCGGACGGGUGAGUAACACGUGGAUAACCUACCUAUAAGACUGGGAUAACUUCGGGAAACCGGAGCUAAUACCGGAUGAUAUUUUGAACCGCAUGGUUCAAAAGUGAAAGACGGUCUUGCUGUCACUUAUAGAUGGAUCCGCGCUGCAUUAGCUAGUUGGUAAGGUAACGGCUUACCAAGGCAACGAUGCAUAGCCGACCUGAGAGGGUGAUCGGCCACACUGGAACUGAGACCCGGUCCAGACUCCGACGGGAGGCAGCAGUAGGGAAUCUUCCGCAAUGGGCGAAAGCCUGACGGAGCAACGCCGCGUGAGUGAUGAAGGUCUUCGGAUCGUAAAACUCUGUUAUUAGGGAAGAACAUAUGUGUAAGUAACUGUGCACAUCUUGACGGUACCUAAUCAGAAAGCCACGGCUAACUACGUG